rnacentral:rRNA from 1 species
UACAGAGGUCCCAAGCGUUGUUCGGAUUCAUUGGGCGUAAAGGGUGCGUAGGCGGCGCGGUAAGUCGGGUGUGAAAUCUCGGGGCUUAACUCCGAAACUGCAUUCGAUACUGCCGUGCUUGAGGACUGGAGAGGAGACUGGAAUUUACGGUGUAGCGGUGAAAAUGCGUAGAUAUCGUAAGGAAGACCAGUGGCGAAGGCGGGUCUCUGGACAGUUCCUGACGCUGAGGCACGAAGGUCAGGGGAGCAAAAACGGG